rnacentral:rRNA from 1 species
AAAUUGAAGAGUUUGAUCAUGGCUCAGAUUGAACGCUGGCGGCAGGCCUAACACAUGCAAGUCGAACGGUAACAGGAAGAAGCUUGCUUCUUUGCUGACGAGUGGCGGACGGGUGAGUAAUGUCUGGGAAACUGCCUGAUGGAGGGGGAUAACUGCUGGAAACGGUAGCUAAUACCGCAUAACGUCGCAAGACCAAAGAGGGGGACCUUCGGGCCUCUUGCCAUCGGAUGUGCCCAGAUGGGAUUAGCUAGUAGGUGGGGUAACGGCUCACCUAGGCGACGAUCCCUAGCUGGUCUGAGAGGAUGACCAGCCACACUGGAACUGAGACACGGUCCAGACUCCUACGGGAGGCAGCAGUGGGGAAUAUUGCACAAUGGGCGCAAGCCUGAUGCAGCCAUGC